AUCGGUCGAUUCAAAUUAACGAUCAGUUCACUUCAUCAUGCACGCUAAAGCAGUUGUUGGUUUGCUGAUUUUAGCAACUGCUCAGUGUUGCGGUUCGACGGACGCUUGAAAUACAACUGACCAGCAAUGUGCCCGUCUUCUGAAUCGGGUACGAUGUGGAUCACUCAUCUUGAAUUCUCCUGAAAUUUUGCUGCCCGGUCGUGAAGCGGAAGCACUCAAAGGAGAGUUUCCCUGGCAUGCGGCCUUGUUGCAUCGAGAAUUCCGUUCAGUCAAGUUUACGUAUAGCUGUGGAGGAUCUUUGAUCAAUGAAUGGUUCGUGUUAACGGCUGCACACUGUUUGAUCAAUCAGAACAAUGGUAAACCGAUGGCUUCUGGAGAUAUUCUUGUUUCAUUGGGAGCUCAUGAACUGGACAAGGAGGAUAACUGUGUGCAAACAAUGAGACUUCAACAGAUACACAUCCAUGAAGAAUACAGUUUAGAUAGCCACAAACAUGACAUAGGAUUGGUGAUGUUUAGCGAGCGCGCCAUAUUUACGCCUCGAGUGCUGCCAGUUUGUUUAGAUAUUUGCGAAACGGAAGAGCCUAACUUCUAUCAACAAUACGGAAAAGUGGCCGGGUGGGGUUUUACAGAAAAAAACGCACUUUCCGAUUGGCUGCGGAUGACCGAGCUGCCAUUUGUUGACUAUUCCAGAUGCUUGACUAGUAAUCCAACAAUAUUUGCGAACACGAUCUACGAGGGCAUGUUUUGUGCAGGGUUUGCUAACGGAAUGAGCAUUUGCAAUGGAGAUUCCGGGGGAGGUUUGGUUACCUUCACAAGAAAUCGAUGGACACUGCGAGGAGUCGCUUCAUUUACGGCCCCGCUUUCGGAAGCAAGCAAAGUUUGUGAUGCUGAACAAUACGCUGGAUUCAUCAAGCUAAGCUUUGCGGGAGAAUGGCCAUGGCUGGUGGCCAUAUUUUGCGUUAAAGGUGGCGACAAAAUAUUUCUUUGUGGUGGAAAUCUUAUAAGUGAUUUGAUCGUGUUGACGGCAGCACAUUGCUUGAAGUCCGUUCAUAAAGUUAAAGUGAAAAAACUGGUAGUAGUGCUGAGUGAAAACAAACUGAUUGAAAGCUCUGUUCACAUGCAAGAAGUAGUAGUUCGAACUGCAAUAUAUCACCCGAAAUAUAAUCGAACGAUACAAAUAAAUGACAUAGGCCUGCUAGAACUAGCUACACCAGUACAGUUUAAUGAUUACAUCCAGCCGGUAUGCUUGCCGAGCAAGAAUGAUUUGAAUUUGUCUCUUUAUGGAUCUUCUGCGACGAUCCUAGGUUGGGGCCAGCCGGAUAAAUCUUUCGUACUUCAUUCGGCAACUGUUCGUGUUGUAAAAGGUCACAAAUAUGUUCCUAGGAGAUUUGCUCUAAAUGAAACAGUCGGAAAUAUUUGUACUGGACCCCCAGCAAAUGGUAGUAUAGUUCAGCAUUGAAAAGUUGUUUAGCUAACACUUCUUUUAUGGAUGCACGAAUUGAAACCGGUGAUUCCGGUGGAGGAAUGCUCUUCGAGAAGGAUGGAAAAUGGACUGUUCGGGGAAUUAUAGCAGCAGCAAGUGAUAAGUUUUCGAUAAUGACCGAUACGGCUUUCUUUUUAGACUGGAUCAAACGAGAGAUCGAAGCUGCAGAUCAACGUACAACCGAGAGGAAAACAAGUGAUUUUGAUUUCGAGCUGCAAUAUAAUCCUUGAAACGAUUUCAGAUGUAGACCUAUAAACAUGGCACUUGAGGAUGGAAGAUUAAACUGACGUACGGUUCAACAAAAAUGGAACUCAAAUUAUUUUCAGCAGAUAUUUUGUUAUGAAUAGAAUAAUCACCAUGAUAAUGUAUUCGAUUUUGUGGUCAACUCUUUAAACCUAAUUGAUCUUUUUUUGUCACCAAUAGUACGAAUCAACUUGAUAAUGAAUUGCUUUGUAAAAUUCAAAUAUAUUUCUCAAUGGCAUAGGAACACAAGCAAAAAUGAGAGAUAAGUGGUUAAAAAUAACUCUGUACCAACUGAUAACAUUCAUAAAUUAUUAAAAAUAAUGCUUAAUACGAUGGCCGUGGCGGCGACAGUCGCUAUGUCGAAUUUCAAAAACCGACCAUAAUUAUUUUUUUAUUCAAUGAAGAGAUUAAUCCCCGUAAUAUAUGUUAGUUACUUAUAGCGUUUUAGUUUAUUAGAAGAGGCAACCUAGUUAUCCACGCGUUUUGCCCUAACUGCUGUCAUUGUGUUCGUUUAUUAAUUCAGAAUUCCACCAGUUUUGCCUGGGGUUUGAACCUCAAGCAGGUGGUUGCAACCCGUAGAAGUUAUCAGUGUUGGGCGUGAGCAUAAGGGUAAGUAUAGCAACCAUAUAUUUGCAUCGUUCCGGGUAACCAUUUCGUUUGUUUAUUCAGAAAAAGUUUCCCCCCGUGCCAGGGGAGAAAACGAAGUAAUGUCCUUUUUUGUUAGAACAUCUUAAGAUAAUGAAAUUUUAUAGACAGAGAGAAUGUUAGACGAAAUAAAGGUUGCUGAAAAUGAGCGGGUAGAAUUUUAUUAGAAGCAUUAUCAUUACAUACCAAAUACUAUGCCCAGAUAACCAGAAAUCGUAAAGUAGUGUUCAUUGUAGAUUGUAUAAGCACCCAGUUUAGAUUGGAAUUGUAUAAACAUCAUGUUGUAGCUAAACCAAGUUAUAUUUUUCGUUUAUGGCUUGUAAAGUGCAUUAUAUACGAUAACAUUUUGUAAAUCGUAUAGAAUGAUCAAUAAAGUUGUUUUGAAUCGCA